rnacentral:tRNA from 1 species
GAAGCACAAUGAAUAGCGCGUUGAACUUCUAAUGCAAAAGUCGUGGGUUCGAAUCCCACCUGCGAUG